CCCUUCAAAACAUGCAAUUUGUCUGGUUAAUUCUGAUAACGCAUGCGACUCUAGCCUAUUAAAUAGGUGCGUGGUUCUCUGCACCAUGCAUGCACCCUUCUUAGAGGUACAAGCGGCUCCUAGCCGCACGAAACGGAGCAAUAACAGG
rnacentral:rRNA from 1 species